CCCCCGGCGCGAUGGGCGCCAAGGAACACGACGGUCGGAGGGAGUGGGCGGGCCUCGAUCCUUCGGGCAGCGCCCUCGACCUCCGCACCCGGAAACUAUACAAACUGUAUGACUCUCGGCAACGGAUAUCUCGGCUCUCGCAUCGAUGAAGAACGUAGCGAAAUGCGAUACUUGGUGUGAAUUGCAGAAUCCCGUGAACCAUCGAGUCUUUGAACGCAAGUUGCGCCCGAGGCCACCCGGUCGAGGGCACGCCUGCCUGGGCGUCACGCCUCGCGUCGCUCCGCGCACCCCUUGCUUCGGCAGAGGCCGCAGCGGAUGCGGAGAUUGGCCCUCCGUGCCUCGCGGCGCGGUGGGUCGAAGUGCUGGCCGCCGGUCGGGCCGGGCACGGCGAGUGGUGGACGGACACGCUCCUGAGCGCCGGACGCCGUGGAAAAUCGGCUCGCACCCGGACCAACGGCCUAGAUAAUACGAACCCAAGCCGACGGCUCUUGCGCCAUCGGAA
rnacentral:rRNA from 1 species